UGGCUGAGCGGUAAAGCGCUUGGCUUCUGAACCGGGGUCCUAGGUUCGAAUCCUAG
rnacentral:tRNA from 1 species